rnacentral:rRNA from 1 species
AGGUUCGUCCGCCCUGGGUUAGUCGGGACCUAAGCUGAGGCCGAAAGGCGUAGGUGAUGGACAACAGGUUGAUAUUCCUGUACUACCGAUAACCGUUUGAGAGAAGGGAUGACACAGUAGGAUAAGCUAAGCACACUGUUGGUUAUGUGUGCCCAAGCAUUGAGGCAGUCAAAGUAGGCAAAUCCGCUUUGAUAAUGCUGGGAUGUGAUGGGGAGCGAAAUUUAGUAGCGAAGUAGCUGAUUUCACACUGUCAAGAAAAGUCUCUAUCGAGGUUAAAGGUACCCGUACCGCAAACCGACACAGGUGGGUGAGGAGAGUAUCCUAAGGCCAGCGAGAGAACUGUUGUUAAGGAACUCGGCAAAAUGACCCCGUAACUUAGGGAUAAGGGGUGCCACCAUCAGGUGGCCGCAGAGAAUAGGCCCAAGCGACUGUUUACCAAAAACAUAGGUUUCUGCUAAGUCGCAAGACGAUGUAUAGGAGCUGACGCCUGCCCGGUGCUGGAAGGUUAAGGGGAUCUGUUAGAGCAAUCGAAGCAGUGAACUUAAGCCCCAGUAAACGGCGGCCGUAACUAUAACGGUCCUAAGGUAGCGAAAUUCCUUGUCGGGUAAGUUCCGACCCGCACGAAAGGCGUAACGAUUUGGGCACUGUCUCAACAACAGACUCGGUGAAAUUGUAAUUCCGGUGAAGAUGCCGGAUACCUGCGACAGGACGGAAAGACCCCAUGGAGCUUUACUGUAGCUUGACAUUGGGUCUUGGUACUACAUGUACAGGAUAGGUGGGAGGCUUUGAAACCAGGACGCCAGUUUUGGCGGAGCCAUCCUUGGGAUACCACCCUUGUAGUACUGGGACUCUAACCAUAGGCCAUGAAUCUGGUCUUGGGACACUGUCAGGUGGGCAGUUUGACUGGGGCGGUCGCCUCCCAAAAGGUAACGGAGGCGCUCAAAGGUUCUCUCAGUACGGUCGGAAAUCGUACGUAGAGUGUAAAGGCAAAAGAGAGCUUGAUUGCAAGACAUACAGGUCGAGCAAGGAUGAAAAUCGGACUUAGUGAUCCGGUGGUUCUGCGUGGAAGGGCCAUCGCUCAACGGAUAAAAGCUACCCUGGGGAUAACAGGCUUAUCUCCCCCAAGAGUCCACAUCGACGGGGAGGUUUGGCACCUCGAUGUCGGCUCAUCACAUCCUGGGGCUGUAGUAGGUCCCAAGGGUUGGGCUGUUCGCCCAUUAAAGUGGUACGCGAGCUGGGUUCAGAACGUCGUGAGACAGUUCGGUCCCUAUCCGUCGCAGGCGUAGGAAAUUUGAGAAGACCUGUCCUUAGUACGAGAGGACCGGGAUGGACGUACCUCUGGUGUACCAGUUGUCCUGCCAAGGGCAUGGCUGGGUAGCUAUGUACGGAAUGGAUAAGCGCUGAAAGCAUCUAAGCGCGAAGCCAACUUCAAGAUAAGAUUUCCCACCGCAAGGGUAAGACCCCAGAAAGACUAUCUGGUUGAUAGGUCGAAGGUGUAAGUGCAGCAAUGUAUUUAGCUUAUCGAUACUAAUAGGUCGAGGACUUGACCAA